AUGAUUCCACAUCAAGAGAGUUCAGAUGAGUACAUUCCAGAUUCCAGCUGCGACAGUGAAGAUAGUGAUGUUACCCUCAAACGAAACAAAAGAAAAAAAUAUCAAUCUCUUGAUGACUUGCUGAAUGACUCUGACUCAAUGAGUACUCCUGUCUGUGAAACCGCAACGUCGGACAGCAUGACCUUUGACAGCCAAAGCCUUACUUCUGAAGCCACUGGAGCAGAAGAUGAACCCUGUUCAAGUCUUAACAAAAAUGACAGUAUAGUUGUUGGUGAAUGCCAAAAGAGAAGUGGAAGCAGAGUGUACGACAAGAGACAUUACUGUUUGUAUUGCUCUAAGUCUUAUGCUAAGAUGGCAAGGCAUCUAGAAAGUGCACAUGGAAAGGAAUCCGAUGUGGCUAAAUCUUUUAGCUUUCCAAAGGGUUCAAAGGAGAGAAAAAUGCAGCUAGAUUAUAUUCGCAACAGGGGAAACUAUGCUCACAAUGCUGCAGUUAUGGAGUCAGGAAAGGGGGAACUAGUGCCAUUUAAACGACCACCUGAAAAAGCGCAGGGAAAUGACUUCAUGCACUGUGCAUACUGCCAAGGACUUUUUUCAAGAAAAGUCUUGUGGCGGCACAUGAAGAAUUGCAGAUUUAAACCUGGAUCAGUCACCUCUAAACCAGGAAAAAAACGUGUUCAGUCCAUCUGUACAUACACGGGGCCUGUGCCUUCACUUGUCACUGAAAAACUAUGGGGAGUAAUCAGUGCCAUGAAUCCUGGCCCAAUCACAGAUCAAAUAAAAAACGACCAAGUCAUUAUUGAUGUGGGGCAACACUUGUUAAACAAAGGAGGGACAUCAGAUAAGAAUCAACAGUGUGUUCGGGAGAAGAUGCGAGAAAUGGGAAGGCUGAUCUACAAUGCCAGGAAAGUCACCAACCUAAAAAAAAUGGAAGAUCUGAUAAAUCCUAAAAAUUACAUGGAGACGAUCAAAGCUGUCAAGAAGACAUGUGGUUAUGACAGUGAAACAAACAUGUUUUUGAUUCCAUCACUAGCAACCAAACUUGGGAAUGCUCUUGUUAAAGUAAGCAAACUCUUAAAGGCUCAGGGUUUAAUCUCAAACGACAAAGAGCUUGCAAAAAAUGCUAGCGAGUUUCUAGAUGUCCAUGGUGAAAAGUGGAAUGAGCUGAUAUCAGCAACAGCAUUGAGGAACAUCCGGGAAGCUAAGUGGAAUGUGCCCACUCUCAUGCCCUUUACUGAGGACGUCCAGAAAAUGCACACGUACCUCAGUCGAGUCCAAGAGGGUUGUUUCAGUUCACUGUCUGAACAUCCUUGUACAAAAGCCUGGAUGGAGCUGGCAAAGGUGUGUCUGACCCAGAUCAUUUUAUUCAACCGUCGCAGGGAGGGAGAGGUGGCAAGCAUGCCCUUAACUGCGUUUACAUCACGAGACACCUCUGACCCGCAUGAUGAUGUAGACUGGGCACUGUCUGAAGUGGAGAAGAAACUGUGCAGACACUUUUCACGGAUUAUAAUCAGGGAAAAACGUGGUCGCCCUGUUCCUAUUCUCCUGACACCCAAAAUGCUCACUUCACUAGAACUGCUUGUUGGGCAGAGGGAGGCUUGUGGCGUUCUAAAAGAAAAUUGUUACCUCUUUGCAAGACCAGAAUGUAUGACACAUUUUCGGGGUUCAGACUGCAUCCGUGGCUUUGCCAAAAUCUGCGGUGCUAAGUGUCCAAAGUCAUUGACGUCGACAAGACUCAGAAAGCAUGCCGCAACUCUUUCAACUGUGCUGAACAUGACAAACACAGAAAUGGACCAGUUGGCCAACUUUCUGGGGCAUGAUAUAAGAAUACACCGCGAAUACUACAGACUACCUGAGAAGACCCUGCAACUCGCUAAGAUUAGCAAACUCUUAAUGGCACUUGAGCAAGGAAGAUUAGCAGAAUUUCAUCGCAAGAACUUGGAUGAAAUUGGGAUAGGUCCAGAUGGUAGGUUUUUUCCUAUUUUUUAUUUUUUGUGUUUUGAUAUCAAUGAUUGA
ensembl:lncRNA